rnacentral:rRNA from 1 species
UACGGGAGGCAGCAGUGGGGAAUAUUGCACAAUGGGCGAAAGCCUGAUGCAGCUAUGCCGCGUGUAUGAAGAAGGCCUUAGGGUUGUAAAGUACUUUCAUCGGGGAGGAAAAAACAAAACUAAUAAUUUUAUUUCUUGACGUUACCCGAAAAAGAAGCACCGGCUAACUCCGUGCCAGCAGCCGCGGUAAUACGGAGGGUGCUAGCGUUAAUCAGAAUUACUGGGCGUAAAGAGCACGUAGGUGGUUUUUUUAAAGUCAGAUGUGAAAUCCCUGGGCUUAACCUGGAACUGCAUUUUGAAACUGAAAUACUAGAGUAUCGUAGAGGGAGGUAGAAUUCUAGGUGUAGCGGUGAAAUGCGUAGAUAUCUGGAGGAAUACCUGUGGCGAAAGCGGCCUCCUAAACGAAUACUGACACUGAGGGUGCGAAAGCGUGGGGAGCAAACAGGGAUUAGAUACC